GACGAACGCUGGCGGCGUGCUUAACACAUGCAAGUCGAACGGAAAGGCCCUGCUUUUGUGGGGUGCUCGAGUGGCGAACGGGGGAGUAACACGUGAGUAACCUGCCCUUGACUUUGGGAUAACUUCAGGAAACUGGGGCUAAUACCGGAUAGGAGCUCCUGCUGCAUGGGGGGGGUUGGAAAGUUUCGGCGGUUGGGGAUGGACUCGCGGCUUAUCAGCUUGUUGGUGGGGUAGUUGCUUACCAAGGCUUUGACGGGUAGCCGGCCUGAGAGGGUGACCGGCCACAUUGGGACUGAGAUACGGCCCAGACUCCUACGGGAGGCAGCAGUGGGGAAUAUUGCACAAUGGGCGGAAGCCUGAUGCAGCAACGCCGCGUGCGGGAUGACGGCCUUCGGGUUGUAAACCGCUUUCGCCUGUGACGAAGCGUGAGUGACGGUAAUGGGUAAAGAAGCACCGGCUAACUACGUG
rnacentral:rRNA from 1 species